AGUGAACGCUGGCGGCAGGCCUAACACAUGCAAGUCGAGCGGCAGCGGGUCCCCGCGAGGGGAUGCCGGCGAGCGGCGGACGGGUGAGGAACACAUCGGGAUCUGCCUGGUUGUGGGGGAUAACGUAGGGAAACUUACGCUAAUACCGCAUGAGACCCUGAGUCGACGGACUGGGGGUGAAAGUGAGGGACCUUCGGGCCUCACGCGACCAGAUGAGCCGAUGUCGGAUAGCUAGUUGGCGGGGUAACGGCCCGCCAAGGCGACGAUCCGUAGCUGGUCUGAGAGGAUGAUCAGCCACACUGGGACUGAGACACGGCCCAGACUCCUACGGGAGGCAGCAGUGGGGAAUCUUGGACAAUGGGCGCAAGCCUGAUCCAGCCAUGCCGCGUGGG
rnacentral:rRNA from 1 species